AGUAAACAAAAAAAAAAAAAGAGGAAAAUGAAAUGCAUCUUCUGUUGCUUUAAGACCAUAGCUAAAAUAUGGUUAAAUACAGAUAAAUUGUGCACUAUUACGAAGAGGAGCAAAAUAUAGCUGGGGGAUUUGUUAAGAUCUUUCUGGACAAGGGUUCAUGCCACAGCUUCUCUGGGAGUUGCCCAUCAUUAUUUGUAGGAGCUUAGAUGUAUAAUUGUAACCAAACUCCAGUAUUAAAAGUGUCUCGUAAUUUUUCUUUAUUAAAAUAAAAUCUUUGGCAUAUAUUUGAUAACACUGCCAUUAAGAGGCAAAAUGUUUACUACCUUAGAUUUAAAAAAAUAUCUUAAACAGAGGACUUGCUUCAAGUUUAUUUUAAUAGCAGUGAUUCAGCUUAUUUAAAAGAUGAAUACUUGCACUAAUUCCCCUGCUGCUCCAGUCCUGCAGUUUGUUGUAUCACGUGACUACAUUUUUUUCCAAAUAUAGGGUAGAUGUAAGCUGCUAUUUUUUUAAUAAUCACUACUAUAUAGUGUCUUUUACUCUGUUUACAAUAUCGAGUAUUUUUCUUACAAUGACAGAUGUAUAUGGCAAACCUUUUUCUGCUCAUGUGAUUAAAAAUAUGCUGAUAGUGGUUUUAUUUUAAAUGAUAGCAUGAGUUUGUGUUUACGCGUACGUGUAGUUGAGAAGGUUGCAUCAUGUCUUGCAUACGAUUCCAAGAGUGUAAAUUUAUACAAAAGAGAGGUCAAAUUUAUGUCCCAGGCAUUUUACUUAAGGAAUGGUUUAUAUUACAGAGAGAGCUUUGUGAAGUUACCAGUUUUAUAACACUAUUUCGAUCACAAAUAAUUUUGUGGCUUAUGAUUGCUUUUUUUUUUUGUUUUAUUUUUCCCCUCCAAGUUAUGUAUAAAUUGAUUUAAUCAAGAUAGUGCAGCUUUAACGUUUUAACAAUUGUCCUUUAGGCAUUGAUUUCUGCUGUUUCCAUGGAAUAAACAUGACUUGAAGCAAGUCUGAGUUUGACUAAGGUAGGGGAGCAAUUUGCCAGUGGUAAAGAGAAGUCAACAAUGCAUUCUUUAUAUAUACCCCAGAAAUAUACUACUAUCAUAUACAGCAUUUAAAAACAAGAAAAAAAUCAUAUCCAUAAAGGCAGUCAUCUGUGAUGGUUCAGUGCCAGCUGUUUUUAGGGUUUGGGAACAUGUUACAAAUGUUUAGAGCAAUUACUCCAUGAGUGACAGUACGUAGGAAGCCUAAUAUAUUGAGUGUCUGGCACUUGAAAUAUUGCUUUUAUUGCUGGAGGUCCAUGACUGUGGCUGACCUCUGUCAUUAAUGGAAAAAAAAAAAAUAAAAAUUCUGUGCAAUAAUUUUAAACUGUGCUCCCAGGAAUAGACACAAAUGUUUUGAGUAUGUUUAAGCUGCAUUUUUCGUUUAGCAAUGCAUUUGUCAAUUGCACUGAAUUUAAAUCUGAAAGUCAGAAGUGAUUCUUGAUAGUACUUUUGUAUUUUAAUAUGGACAGUUUAUUCAUUUUCAUAAAAGUUAUUGGAUGAUUCUUUCAGCCAAUCCAAACAGUCGUGGUGGAAUUCUGUGACAUAGCUGCAAAAUCACACAGCCAUGUUUUAGGGUAUUGCCAUUUUCCUCUUUCUCAAUCAUCAGCUGUUUUGGUUGUAAUUCUAAUUGCUUAAGCAUAGUAUCACAUAUUCAUAAAUAGAUACAACAGAGCUUCAGUCUCAGAGGUCCAGGGUUUUCAGUGCUCGAAGCAUAGUCCAGCAGUGCCAGUUCUGUUGACUUGAGUGCUCUGGACACGCAGGCUAACGCCCCAACCCAGUGUUAACACGCCGUGCCCCACCGCAGCGGAGUUGUGCCGGGUCCCACAGCAGCAGGCCUGGCUGUAGGUGUUUUAUUGUUGUCCUUUACUAGCAUGCCACAGUGCUGCUCCUGCUCACACCUCUUUUUGCCUCUUGUUUUAUACACUGUUAAAUGCAUGCCAGGUGUGCUAGGUUCUGUGAUUCUGUGAAGUAAAAAGAAAAAAAAAUCACACACACAAAAAAAGAAGAAAACCAUACAUUCAUUACAUUUUAUAGCACAAAGACCUCGUAUUCAAUAGUGAGGUAGACUAUCCAAAUUUUUCCUUUAAAUAUUGAGUAUGCCAAAUGUCAGUAAGAGCCUAAUUUUGUAUCAGUGAAUGCACAUGCUUAGUCUUAUGUAGAGAUUAAUUCUGUUGCGCCUGUUUUCAUUGUGAAGGCAGAUGUGUGCGUAGGCCUUUGCCUGCAUGGAAGUUACGGUCUUUUCCAUUCAGCGUGUCAAUGGGCAGACAUCCAAGUAGAGGAUAAAAGGUAGGGGAAAAAGUGGGCUCAGAAUGGAUGCUGGAAUAAGAAAGGAACUGCUCUUCAGUUUGCUGUUUUUCUAUGCAUCGACGUCAGAAUCCCGUUGCUCAUUUCUGCAUAGUUAGGUCCAGGUUUCCGUAGAGUUCCUCUUUUUCUAUUUUGCUUUAUCUUUUCCUGCGUUUUUAAAUCGAUGUAAAGAUUCCCAACCAGUGGACUUUUUAGUGUAGUUAAGAGAAUAUCUAGGUCCUCGUAAAAGCUUUUUUAGACUCUUUAUAAUGUUGAUAAACUCAGUUUAUUCUGGGACUACAAUUGUGCAGGGUUAUUUAGCGUGUCUACUAGAUGAUUGGAAAUCUUAUAUGAAACACUAAAAGUGCCUCUUUUUCUGGGUUGGGUGGAGGGAGGUAAUAGUUACCAGAGUCAGAAUGACAUGGCAUUUUGAAGCAUGUUUCUUCAUUUCAUGACACUUUAAUGCAUCUUGAGAGAAAGGCCAAAGAUUUCUACCAAUUUUAAUUAAUUUUCCUUUUAAAAGCACUCCUUUUUCCUUACACUGCUUACCUCAUGCUAGGGCGUGUUUAACGGGACGUUGUACCUUUGAGAUGUUCUUUGUGUUCAGGAAGAAGGGUCGGUGGAAUCGGGCAGUGGUGCCAGUUUGCCCACAGAGCAAUCUAUCAGCUGACACGUUCGGUUCUGCUGAAUGAAGGAAUCUCCUUAAAACUACAAACUGGGUUUUUCGGCUUGGAAAUAAAAGGUUGUAUGUUUUUGUCCGUUCAGCAAAGAGGAGCCUUGGGACCCAAUUUUCCAAUCUUGACUCGAUCAGAAAUCCCAUUGUGUUUCACUUCAUGAGAAAACUUUGCCAGAACGAGCGUUGGAAGGUGUGGGGCUGUGUCACACCGCACAGGGAGCCGCGUAGGCCGGGCGAGCGCCUCGCUGAGCCAGGGCUGCUGCUGGUGCGAGCAGCUGGGCUGUGCCCCCGGAGCAGGGCUGCUGCGCUUAGCCCGUGCUCCUUUCCACUGAGGAGCCUUAUGUCUUCUAACUUCACAAAGCCCUGUAGAGCUGUUCCCUGGGGGGAUCAUUUCACACUCUCCUGAAGUCUGAAGAAAGCAGAAGCAACAUUGUGGCAUGUUAGAAGCAAAUAGGCUUCCGGAGACAGCAGUAAAUCUCCAUCAAAGAUCCCUGACGUUUUCCUUAGGGAGAGAGCCAAGGAGCAGUCUUCACAUCUCCCUCUAGAGAAAGCUCUGAAAUCCCACGUUCUGUGAAAGCGUGGCUGUCUUCGCUGUCGGUCUGAAGGCAGACAAGGCAGGAAGAUCUGCCAUGUCUUACAGAUGGCGGAUUCAGUGUUAAUAGUGCUUCAGAUCAGUAGUUUUGAGUACAUACUCUCUUUCUCUGCCUUUAAGUUUGCAGCUUGACAAUAACUUAAGGCACGUUUUGUUUUGUUUUCUUUUUAAAAUAAUCAUUCAUUUUUACUUCAUGAUGUUUUUGUCAUUUGUGGGUAAAUACAGGAAAACAGUCUGCAUGUUGUUGCUAGUCCAGUGUACGUUGCAAUCUUGUCCUCAACAGACUGCAGUGUGCAGAACAGUAAUUCUAGAAUACAGAAGUAAUUUUCUCCCUCUCCUGACAUUGACAUUGUAGUUGUAAUGGUUUCAUUUGGAGUUACAAAUCCUUUGGGUCUAAUUCUGUGAGCCUACCUAUAGCACUGGAUUAAAAUGUCUGCAUCAUUUCUUCAGUUAUCCAGUUAAACUACAGCUGUUGUAAAAGUGUAAACCAGCCCAUGACAGUUUUUUGUACUUGUUUAAAGGACUUUUAUUGUUCAGUUUUCAUGAUUAUUGUCUAAAGAAGACUGAUAUAGAUGUUCUAUACUGUCCUGGACCAUGUUAAUUACACUUUAUGAUGUAUUUUGGUUCUACAUCACAAUGAUUUGUCCCCAAGGCCCUUAUAUCCCUUCUAGGCACAUUUUCUGUUGCAGUUUCCCUUUGCAUUGUAUUGCUUUGACAACUGUAAUUUGAAUCAGAUCUGAAAGAGGUCCAGAAUAAAAUAUAUUUUGAUAUUACCUUGGCUGAAUGUUAUAUCACGGUAAUUUUUAAUGCUUGGUACAGAAGAUUUGCAGAUGAUUGAGUUGGAAAAGCGAUACAUGUGAACAGUAUUUGUUCUGGUAUGCUUUCAUUUAAGACAUUAUGCAAGAAGCAAUGGAAACCAAUACGUUGUGCUGUUACAUACUUGUUGUGAACGAACAGCAGGCCGUCUGAAAACUGAGGUUGUUCUCGGCAUCAGUUUAGCACUGUGCAUUUGGUGUAGUAGAGCUGCUUUUUCACAUGUGUGUUUCAAGGCCUUUGUCCUUUUUCUUGCUCAUACGCUUGUGGAAGAGAGGCUGAGUCUGGUGAUGCUCCCAUAUACAUGCAGCUGCUUCAAGGAUUUGGGUGAGGUGUGGGCAGGUUGCUGUCCAGUAAUGCAGUCUCACUUCAUCUGUUCUUACAGAGUAAUUUAAUUGAAUUUUGCAAAGGAUUGUUGUUACCUUAUUUCACGUAUUUGAAACUGUUUAUAGUUAGACAUGAAAAAGCAUCCAUCCAGCUAUACAUAGAGAGGCUUGAACUCCUCUAGAAUUGUGAGUCUUGUCAUAAUGCAGCAGGGAACCCAAACAGUUGGUUUUCAGUGUCACUGGAAAUGUAUGGUGGAAUUGGUGCUUUGUUAUAUAGUGUACUUAUUCACUACAGUAUGUUCAAAAGUAAUAGCUUUCGAUCUUGUUUAACUUUAAUGCAAGUACAUUAUCAAAAUCAAUUUAUUUUAGCAAGUUGAAACUUGCUGAAAAGUAUACUUAAUGGAUUAAAAAUGGAGGAGGAACUGUAUUUUUUGAAGCAUAAAAACUGUGGGAUUUCAUUCACCUGGAGUUUGGGUGCGCAUGGGGAUUUCUCUGUCAUUGCUUGAACGUUGAGAGAGCAAAGCUGAAUCAAUUUCAUGUUUUUCAGACAGACUUUGUGCUUGUGUCACAAUACAGAAAGUUUGUGUGUCUUCAUAUUGUGUUAGUGCAGACGGGCCACGCAUCAGUCCAGCCACCCUGCGCUACCACGGAGAGAUUCAGGCUCCAGACUGGUAGCAAUGCUGCUUGCGUCCUGUAAGGAGGGGAUGGUGUUCCAGGUAGGUCGGUUGUGCCAGUGCUGCCUGAAUUUUUCUUUUGAAAUGUCCUCCCUUAAUAAUAAUCUGUUUGUUUUUCCUUAGGUACUCAUGCUAUUAAGUAUUCCUAAAAUCCAUAGAGAAAUGAUUUAACGGAAAUUUAAGCAACGCUUUUGUUACUCUGAUGGCAGAGCAGCUGUAACAGAACUUAGGAGGAAUUUGGUGAUGACUGUGGAGAAUGAUGAUGCCUGGGAUAGUACAGUUGUCCUUAAGGAAGCCUGACCAGGAGGUCAGCAGUGCAGAUCUUACUUGUAUCAGCUGCGCCGUCCCCAGUGCAUCUUAAUCAGUUCAUCAACAACAGCUGCUCUUCUUGACAAACAAUCUAAUGAAUACUGAAAUAAGAAUCUUAUUGUAAGAAAAACCUUCUCUGUCACUACUGAGGAGGCGAGGGGGUGCUGUGAAAAUGAAAUAAGACUCUCAGUUUUGAAAUUCUGCUGUAAUAAAUAUGAACAAUGGCUCAGUAA